rnacentral:tRNA from 1 species
CCGGGUGUAGCUCAGUUUGGUAGAGUACUUGAAUGGGGUUCAAGGGGCCAUGAGUUCGAAUCUCGUCACUCGGACCA